UUCCAAAUAUUUGGCAAAGGAACAGAAGCAUCUUUUGAAUCCGGGCCAUGAGCUACAUAAUAACAACUGCUCGAACUCUAAGACUCAGUGAGACAUUCGUUCUCAAGUUUAGGAGGAUCGGUUCAGAGACCGUAUUAGGUGGGUUCC
rnacentral:lncRNA from 1 species